rnacentral:rRNA from 1 species
AUUGAACGCUGGCGGCAGGCUUAACACAUGCAAGUCGAGCGGAGAUGAGGUGCUUGCACCUUAUCUUAGCGGCGGACGGGUGAGUAAUGCUUAGGAAUCUGCCUAUUAGUGGGGGACAACAUUCCGAAAGGAAUGCUAAUACCGCAUACGUCCUACGGGAGAAAGCAGGGGAUCUUCGGACCUUGCGCUAAUAGAUGAGCCUAAGUCGGAUUAGCUAGUUGGUGGGGUAAAGGCCUAGCAAGGCGACGAUCUGUAGCGGUUCUGAGAGGAUGAUCCGCCACACUGGGACUGAGCCACGGCCCAGACUCCUACGGGAGGCAGCAGUGGGGAAUAUUGGACAAUGGGGGAAACCCUGAUCCAGCCAUGCCGCGUGUGUGAAGAAGGCCUUAUGGUUGUAAAGCACUUUAAGCGAGGAGGAGGCUACUGAGACUAAUACUCUUGGAUAGUGGACGUUACUCGCAGAAUAAGCACCGGCUAACUCUGUGCCAGCCGCCGCCGUAA